GCCUCCUUAGCUCAGCCGGCCAGAGCAGCUCACUUGUAAUGAGCAGGUCGUCGGUUCGAAUCCGACAGGGGGCUCCA
rnacentral:tRNA from 1 species